rnacentral:rRNA from 1 species
GACGAACGCUGGCGGCGUGCUUAACACAUGCAAGUCGAACGGAAAGGCCUGCUUUCCCUUGUGGAUUGCGGGUACUCGAGUGGCGAACGGGUGAGUAACACGUGAGUGAUCUGCCCCCAACUUGGGUAUAAGCCUGGGAAACUGGGUCUAAUUCCCGAUAGGACUGCAGGGUGGUGCCUGUGGUGGAAAACGAUUUUCUAGUGGUUGGGGAUGGGCUCGCGGCCUAUCAGCUUGUUGGGGGGGUGAUGGCCUACCAAGGCGGUGACGGGUAGCCGGCCUGAGAGGGUGGACGGCCAAAUUGGGACUGAGAUACGGCCCAGACUCCUACGGGAGGCAGCAGUGGGGAAUAUUGCACAAUGGGCGGAAGCCUGAUGCAGCGACGACGCGUGGGGGAUGACGGCCUUCGGGUUGUAAACUCCUUUCGACCGCGAGGAAGCCACCUGGUUGGAAGGGUGGUGACGGUAGUGGUAGAAGAAGCACCGGCUAACCACGU